GACGAACGCUGGCGGCGUGCUUAACACAUGCAAGUCGAACGAAGAGAGAUGGAAGCUUGAUUCUAUAAAUCUUAGUGGCGAAUGGGUGAGUCACGAGUAAUCAACCUACGAUUAAGAGGGGGACAACAGUAGGAAACGACUGCUAAUACCGAAUACGACCUAAUCUCGGCAUCGAGGAUAGAUGAAAGAUGGCCUCUACAUGUAAGCUAUCACUGAAGGAGGGGAUUGCGUCUGUUUAGCUAGUUGGAGUGGUAACGGCCAACCAAGGCGAUGAUCAGUAGCCGUUCUGAGGGGAUGAACGUCCACAUUGAGACUGAGACACGGCCCAGACUCCUACGGGAGGCAGCAGUAGCGAAUCUUCCUCAAUGGACGAAAGUCUGACGGUGCAACGCCGCGUGAGUGAUGACGGCCUUCGGGUUGUAGAUGUCUGUUAAUCGGGACGAAAGGCCUUCUUGCGAAGAGUGAGAAUGAUUGACGGUACCGGAAUAGAAAGCCACGGCUAACUACGUG
rnacentral:rRNA from 1 species